rnacentral:rRNA from 1 species
UACGUAGGUGGCAAGCGUUGUCCGGAAUUAUUGGGCGUAAAGCGCGCGCAGGCGGUCCUUUAAGUCUGAUGUGAAAGCCCACGGCUCAACCGUGGAGGGUCAUUGGAAACUGGGGAACUUGAGUGCAGAAGAGGAUAGUGGAAUUCCAAGUGUAGCGGUGAAAUGCGUAGAGAUUUGGAGGAACACCAGUGGCGAAGGCGACUAUCUGGUCUGUAACUGACACUGAGGCGCGAAAGCGUGGGGAGCAAACAG